GGAAUCUUGCGCAAUGGGCGAAAGCCUGACGCAGCGACGCCGCGUGAGCGAUGAAGGCCCUCGGGUUGUAAAGCUCUGUGGAGAGGGAAGAAUAAGCGUAGGUUAAUAUCCUGCGUGAUGACGGUACCUCUUUAGCAAGCACCGGCUAACUCUGUGCCAGACGCCACGGUAAGAAAGAGGGUGCAAACGUUGUUCGGAAUUACUGGGCGUAAAGCGCGUGUAGGCGGCCGGGCAAGUCGGAUGUGAAAGCCCACGGCUCAACCGUGGAAGUGCACUCGAAACUGCUUGGCUAGAGUCCUGGAGAGGAAGGUGGAAUGCUUGGUGUAGAGGUGAAAUUCGUAGAUAUCAAGCAGAACACCGGUGGCGAAGGCGGCCUUCUGGACAGUGACUGACGCUGAGACGCGAAAGCGUGGGGAGCAAAC
rnacentral:rRNA from 1 species